rfam:Rhizobium sp. Root1212 contig_8, whole genome shotgun sequence.
AGUCAAGAGUCUUGGCACCGUUUUGGUGAUCGAAUUUCUUUUGCCUUGUGAAAGGUGAAGGACAUG